AGCGCGCAUCAUAGUGCGCAUUAUAGUGCGCAUGACGUCAGUUUACAGUUGAAAAUUGUGACAAGAGGACGGAUCAUCGCAAAUUCGGAUUACGCAGUUUAAUUGGUAUCGUCAUAAUAGCUCUUAAAAGGCGGGAAAAAUUCCAAUAUGGACGCCAUAUCUUUCUUGAUGACGUGGUAUUUUAUAUUUCGUAUUUUAUAUUUCGUAUGUAUAAAUUUUUAUUCUAUUUUAUUGAAUUAUUAGUGAUUGUUGUUAAAAGUAAAAGUAUUUUCAGAACAAAUGCUCGAUAGGAAGAAGAAGAAAAAUAUUAAAAUAAUAUUGUUUCUUCUUCUAUCUCUCUCCACCCCUCUACUAAUUUAAUGUUAAUUUCAGAAAAUAUUUGUGAUCGCGCGCAAUGCGGUUAAUAGAAUCAGUGUUUGUUUCGUCAUAGUAUUUUAAAUAUUUUUUAGAGCACAAUAGCUUGAAUUAAGUUUAAUUAUAAUAGUUAUACGCGAAAUUAGAAUCAGUGCUUGUUUGCCGAUUACAAAAUGUAUACUGCCGCGUUAAUA
rnacentral:lncRNA from 1 species